GUCAACUCUAGAGCACUAGACCGCCUCUGUAGCUGUUGCCCUUUUGAUGGAAGAGUGCUGUCCUUUCCGCCAGGUUGUUGUCCAUUGAACAACUGGGCUGGCCGCGACUUGGUCUCUUCCUCAGCAAACUCGGCUCCAGCCCACUGUCCAUUCAACACCUGUGUGUGAAGUGGCCGGCUGGAUACAAGUACACAGCUCAGAGGUGCGGCCUGGUGGAAGAAGAGGUGUCAGCAAAUGAAUUUCACAAAGAGGCUCACUGAGGUUCACAGCCAAUUCUAGACUCUAUUUCCAAAACCAGAGAGAGGGGGCAUUUCUACGAGAACCUGGUUAAAGGGAGAAGUCAGGUCAAAAUAUUCUCAUAUGAAAUGAUCCGCAACAAGAUACCAUGUGACGGAAGAAAAGGGAAGCAGUAGUUGCUAUGGCGAGGGGAUGGCGCUGAAGAGACCUAUACUUUUCAGUAUAUAUGAUUAAUUCUUUUUGCACUUCGUAGUGUGUGCAUGUUUUACCUUUUCACUAAAACACAAAUGAGUUUCCUUUAAGACUGUGUAUGCCCUUAAUAGACCUAUUGCCCUGGGGUCCUAGAGAACAGUGCAUGCCAACUCCAGGAUCAUACAAGGUUAGAUUCCUUAACUUAAUUUCAAUGUAUUUGCAUCACAAUCUCUCUCUCUCUCUCUCUCUCUCUCUCUCUCUCUCUCUCUCUCUCUCUUUUAAGAACUUGGAUUAGGGAGACAGGCAAAUAUAAAAUCUGCAGAGUGGGCCAUCAGGUUGCAGACCAGGCAGGGAAGAGCCGAUGUUAUAGUUCAAGACCACCUACUGUCACACCUAUUGUCAGAAUUCUUUCUUGCUGGGGAAGGUCAAUCAUUUGGGGGGAGAGGUCAAUUUUUUGUUGUAUUUAGACCUUCAACUGAUUGAAUGAGGCCAAACCUCACUUGGGAGGGUAAUCUGCUUUAUUCAAAACCCACUGAUCUAAAUGUUCUCAUACUCCAAAACACCCUAACAGAACCAUUCAGAAUAAAUUUGUUCCAGUAUCUGGGCAACGUGGCCCAGACAAAAUGACACAUAACAUUAACCAUCACAGAGACCUAGCCACAAAGGGAUGAAGAUGAUAUGAAGGAUGAUGUGAAGAUGCAGGCAGAGAGCAAAGUGAUAUUGCCUACAAGCCAAGAAAUGCUAUGGAUUGCUGGCAACAUCCAAAGGCCAGAGAGAGGCAUGGAAUGGUGUCUCGUAUAGGGCAUCGAGGAGGAAUCAAUCCUGUCAACACCUUGAUUUUGAAUUUCUGGCCUCCCGAACUGUGAGACAGUAAAUUUCUGGCAUUUUAAGGCACUUAGUCUAUGGUAAUUUGUUCCAGUAGCCCUAGGAAGCUAAACUCAGUAGUGACAUGGCCUUAUUUUCCAGUGGAAAUCAGAUGUGAUGUCCCACUAGGAAGGGGAUGCAUGUUCAUGACGACAGGCACAUUGCAGAACUCUGUGUGGGCACUGGGGAGGGCCAGGGAAGGGAAAGGAAGGCUUAGAGGUGGGGUUUCCAGGGUACACCAGGACCAAAAGUCAACGGCAAGCUACACACUGAAACAAGUGCAACAUAUAUGAUAGGAAAGUAGGGGUUCCUUUUCUUACAUAUGAAAAACUGCUGCAAAAAAUGUAAUGAGAAAAAUAUAAGUGCCUUUUAGACACAGGAAAGUUGAGAAACAAUAUCCAAAGAAAGAAUGACAAAUGACUACUAUGUCACCACCCGGAUGACCUGGCUCAUUGCACAUCCUGACGUACAUUAAAUCUGUGCUCAAGAUUUAUUCCUUUAAGUGUGUCCCAAAGAGGCAUGUUCAGGAUCCAGCUUGUGAGCAGACCUACAUCAGGACAGAUGAAGUAAUGGGGGUGCUCACAGCUAGAUCCAUCAGCAGGAGUGCUACUGCUGCUGCUCAGGCAUAGUUACAACAAAGGGUGUUGUGAAAUAUGAAAGCAUAAUCAAUUGAUUAAUCAAUAAAGAGGUAUUUAUUGAAGACCUCUGUUGUCUCCCACUCUGCACUGUGCACUCUGAGGAGCAGGAGAACAACAUGUCCCGCUCCAACUACCGCCACCCCGCCCCUGCCAUGGAUGAGGAAAGACUGGGGUUUAAGAAAGAACAGGACCACAACCCAGGGAGGAUGAAUUGAUCGCUCCAGAUCAUAUCAGUUCUGGCUAUACAUUAGAAUCCCUAGAGAGCUUUUAAAAAAUACAGAUGCUACUAGAAUGUUUCAUCGCAGCACUACUUACAGAAGCUCCACACUGGAAAUUACCCAAAUGCACAUCAGCAGUGGUGUGGCUAAUAGCUAUGGAUGACUCAUAAUGGAGUGGCAGCAUUUAGCAAUGAGCAUGAGAGAUCGACAGCUACAUGCAACAAUGUUGAUAAAUCUCUUUAGUAUAAUGCUGAGGGGAAGAAACCAGAUAAAAAGUGUCAUGCUUAAAUGUACCAUCGUAACGUAAGACGUUAACAACAGAGGCAACUUGGUGCAGGGUGUGCAGGAUCUUUGUACUAGUCACACUUUUUUCUAUAAAUCUAGCCUGUUCUAAAAUUUAAAAGCUUAUUUAAAUAUAGAAAAGUCAUACUGUAUGAUUCCAUUUGUGUCAAAUGCAAAAACAGACAAAAUUUGCCCUCUGCCAUUAGAAGUCGGGGAGGUGUUCGCACUGGGAUGAAUGGUGUCUGGAAGGGCACAUAAAGGGGCCCUGGGGAGCUGGUAAUGUUCUGUGCCUUUAUCUGUAUGCUGCUUACAAAAGCACGUUCCAGUGUGAACAUUUAUCGAGGUGAACACUUAU